rnacentral:lncRNA from 1 species
GCUUCUCUUGUGGGAGCUGUGGGGAGCUGGCGGUAACUUAGGCAGGGGCCAGAGUUCCAGGAGCAUGAGGGAAUGCCUACCGUGUCAUGAAGGUGAAUUAUGACCAUCGGGGUUCAGACCUUAGCUCAACUGGAGACCAGCCUGCAAUUCCCCACAACAAGUCUUGCAGCUUGUGAGAGGAGAUGUACUUUGCUCAGCCCACAAUUAAUUAUUGAAGUCCAAGGCCUAGUGAAGUUGUAUGGUAAUGUUUGCAUUCUCUCGCACGACUUCAGUUACUGUCUAGUUUUGUGGAACAAACUCAGUCCUACCUCCAAAGCACCAGAGAUGUAAAGCCAACUGCUGUUGAAUGUCUCCAACGUUCUUCUGUCUUAUUUUGCUGUUCAUUCUGGAGUUGGGAGACCAUGACUGUGCUUUCUGUUUUGGAAUAUGCUGACUUGGCUAUGCUCUGGGACUAUUAGACUCAGGCAGAGAAUAUCAGAACGAGGCUGGCACUGAUCCAAGAAAAAGACAGGUGCAUUUCUCUCUCAGAAAGGAGUAUCAUGGAAGAGAGGAUGGAACACUGUAUGAGCCAAAGAACACCGAGGAGUGCUGCAAAAUGGUGUCUUCUGGACAAGACAGCAUGAGUAUCCAUUACCUCAUGACAGCUGUAUCUGUCUGAAUGGGUGGUGGUGGUGGUGGUGGGGUGAUGCUGAGCAUUUUCUGAUGAAAAGGGAAGGAAGAAAUAAAUGAAUUAUCGGAA